UACGGAGGGUGCAAACGUUGCUCGGAAUCAUUGGGCGUAAAGCGCGCGUAGGCGGCGAGGCAAGUUGGAUGUGAAAGCCCUGGGCUCAACCUAGGAUGUGCAUACAAAACUGCCUCGCUUGAAUCUCGGAGGGGGUCAGGGAAUUCCCGGUGUAGAGGUGAAAUUCGUAGAUAUCGGGAGGAACUCCAGUGGCGAAGGCGCUGACCUGGACGAUGGUUGACGCUGAGGCGCGAAAGCGUGGGGAGCAAACAGG
rnacentral:rRNA from 1 species